CUAAGGUGACAGUUAAGGCUAUUAAGUCCAUUUCUUUGAAAAUAAGAAAAUGAAUGAAUAAUGUAUUUUGUCUUUCCUUUGCAAACAUCAUGACACCAAAGCUCCAGUUGAUACGGGCAAGCUAUGGAGAAGAAUGCUGAUGGAUCUACACAGAAGGAGGGACUUUCUCUACAUUUCAUUUUCUUCUGUGGAUUCCUUUGGAUCUUCGUUCUUGGUGAUUGUGGCAGAUUGACUUUUCCAAAGAUGGCUUUAACAUCUCCCAUCCAUACGCUCUUCUUACACUAUGACCUCUCCAAUACGCCAUCAAGAGGCAGAGUCAUCUCCUCCAUCUGAACCCAGGUGAGCCUUCAGUUACUUCAACCCACAGAGUGCAGGUCAAGUGAUGUGUAAUCACUGAGGGCAGCUGGGUGCAGAAGCCCUUUCUACCAGCUAACCAGAGUGCUAAUCUUCUCCUAGCUCCAUGCUCACAGCCUGAAAACAACCACAGAGAGAUUACCUAUGUCAUAGGGGCCAGCAAAUCAUUCUCUCUCUCUCUCUCUCUCUCUCUCUCUCACACACAUCUACUCUCAUCUAUCUACAUCUCUACACACACACACACACACACACAGCUGAUUAAUAAAUACAAGUGCACCACUGUUUCUGAGGCUAUAUCAUAAAAGAUGAAUGGUUUCCUCUGGAUCUCUCUCAGUCCACUUGCUCUUAAAUCCCAGCCCCUAUGCUGGGAAGAAGCCCAGGGCUCAUGAAGAGGCUGUAUAUAGUGUUCUGGCCCACAGCCCCAGCUGAGGUUCUAGCCACAGCCAGCGUCAGCUGCCACUAUGCAUGUGAGUGAGGAUGCCUUCAGAUGACUGCAACCCCAGCUAUUGUCUGCAUUCAUAUGAGAGACCCAAGUGAAAACCUCCCAGUGGAGCCCUGCCAACCCAUAGAACUGAGAGACAGUAUAAUCAUUAACAGUCAUAAUUGCUCAUACUCCUUAGUUUGGAGUGUUUAUGCCCCAGUAGAUCAUCA
rnacentral:lncRNA from 1 species